AAGAGCACAAGCAAUGGGAGAAGGAGAAGCAGACUCCCCGCUGAGCAGGGAGCCCGACCUGGGGCUCAAUCCUGGAACUCCAACAUCACACCCCAGGCGGAGGGCAGACGCUUAACUGACUGAAAUACCAGGUGCCCCGAACCAGUCACAUGGAUCGCGACUCAGCGGAUGAUAACUAGAUGACCGUGAAGUUCAGUUCUACGUCAUGUCUGGAAGGUAGAAAGCCAGAAGCGUUGUGCACAGCAUUAGUGACUCUCUAAAGUGCUGUGAACAUCUUUAAGGCUUCUGAUGCACAUUGCCAGGUUAUCCUCCAGAAUGGUGUGUCCGUUUAUCCUCUUACCUGUGCAACUGACCAGGACUUGUUUGAAUAAUGUGCCGUGUUCCGCCGCAUGGGUAUCAGAAGUUAUGUCAUCAAUCCCCCGCCAACGAGCACUCAUCGUUUCUAUCACAAUGAUGUGAUGUACAUUGUUUUACACACGUGAUUUUGUCCCCUUAUGUCUGUAGAAUAAAUUUACAGAAAUUGGACUAUUGAA